AGAAAUGAAGGACUACAGGUCUUGUGACGAUCUAAUGUUGCAGAAUGAAAAAGUAUAUUUUUCCGUGAAACUGACAUAAUUUGAUGUGAUACAUGUAAUCUGAUACAUGUCAGAUGUUAGAGAUUAUACAAGGUUAUAAAUUAUUCGGAAAAGCUUUAAUAGUGGGCGUAGCUGGCCCGUUUAUCAUCGGAUAACAGUUCCAGAGUAUAUCCUUUGAAUGUAACUCUACUCUUGGGCAAACAAGACUAAGGGUUAUGACCAUUCUCGUUUGUCUUUGCAUCCAGAGAAUCUUCGCGCGAAAUCCCUAGCCAGGACCCAAUUAACUCUCUAAGAAUUCGAUCCUAUCCCAUGGUCACGUCCAAAAUGGCCAACAUCUCAUGCGAACUGCAACGCUUCUAAGAAUCCUUCGUCUCUGACCACAGAAACCUGUAUCCGCAUCGACGACGGUUUGAAUUGAAGAUUUUUGCGGACGGUAACUCGUUGGCUCACGCGCUAACGUAUUUGCAAGAUCCGCUGCGCUGAUGGACAUAUAAUGCGACGUGUGAUUGUAGGCCCGCCAAUCGCGGCCGAUUGUGCCUCUGAAGGCCCGCUAACUAUCUCAAACUAGCCCCAUUCAAACCGCCACGACCUCUCUCUAGCCGUCUCUAUCUACCAGCCCAGCCUCUGUGUCUCGCUCGUUCCAACCCUCAUUCACCGCCACCCUCCCCCUGGUACCCGUGCGUCUCGUUCAUCACCAAACUUCGCCUCUCUGUUGCUCUCAACUCGCGUCUCGUUUGCACCGACUUCACAGGACGAUUUUCCCUCCUACUCGGUGAAAACUCAGUUCCUCAUUCGCCGUUCGAAUUCGACGUACGUUUCUUGCCGCACGUUUCUUCUGCACGCCCUGUAUCCCUCUCUAAUUUUCGACCGGCUCUCUCGCCACACACGUAAUCUUCUAUUUCAUUCGCUUUACCUUUCCUAAUGCGAUAGCUCGCUCCAUACACAUACAAUCGUAGCCUCAUCUCUUUUCAAUCUCACCUCGCGGAUCGAAUGUUUUGCCUUCCAUUUAACAUCCUUUAUCUCGCUCCCUCUAUUCAACUGUCUCAAAAAAAGUUUUUCUCUUCGAGGUUCCGGUGAUUCCAUUCGCCCCGCUAUCUGGUCUUCCGUCCAUCUAAUGUUUCCACUUUCUUUUCAUCCGUUAAAUCGUGCAUCUCGUUUAACUCGACUUCCGUCGUUUUCUAUUUCGCAAAUUCAUACAUUCUCGCCUCUAGCCAUUCCUUUUAAGAAUGUAAGCCCUACAUGCACUUUCUUCCCUGCUCCACUGCAGCACUGCUUCAUUUUCCCCCUUCUUGCUUCUUAAAUCUAUGUUCUCUCUCACUUUCGUCCAUCUUUCACUCUCUCUCUCUCUCUCUCUCUCUUUACCCUUUCGAACCGCAACCAACUACCUCUCCUCUUUCAACCUAUUCCCCCGACGUACCUUAUCUCCAUUCUCGGUCUCUGUUCGACCUGCUUCAUUCAUCGACACAAUCACGCAUGGUUACGUAGGUACAUUCCGCUAGGCGUCACCGAGUAUUCGUCCCGAUUCGAAUUCUCGACCCUAUAUAACCGUGGCACGUUCUACGUGGGAAUUUCAAAUCUAUCAGCGACCCAGACGAAUGCAAAUCGCGCAUGAAGCGCGCUUAAUAAAGCCUCGCACGCGGCCCGCAACUCGCAAUUUUCUUUUCGACGCUACGUGUCGCACGCUCCUCUUAAUGAAACCUUCGCAUGCACCGUGCGCAAUUCGCGGCUACGCUCCUAUUCUACACGCAUCUCCGUCCCGCGAUACCGUUAGAAAAAGAACGCACUCGGGAUCGUUAAGCUUCGGCCCAGGGGAGAGAACGAGGACCAUUUCAACUCCCUUGUAGAAAGAGAUCCGUUCAUAAGAAUACAAGUUUCAUAGAAUAAAACUUUUCUAGUAAAUCACGGAAAUUCUAUUAUCUAAUAAACUUUAUGGAUAUCGCAUAAAUAAAACGAAAGACUUAA